rnacentral:rRNA from 1 species
UACGAAGGUCCCAAGCGUUAUCCGGAUUUAUUGGGUUUAAAGGGUGCGUAGGCGGGCUAUUAAGUCAGUGGUGAAAGCCCCAAGCUUAACUUGGGAACUGCCAUUGAUACUGAUGGUCUUGAGUACAUUUGAGGUGGGCGGAAUGUGUCAUGUAGCGGUGAAAUGCUUAGAUAUGGCACAGAACACCGAUUGCGAAGGCAGCUCACUAAACUGUAACUGACGCUGAGGCACGAAAGCGUGGGGAGCAAACAGG